GCGUGAAGCUACAGCCGCCAAACCCACACUUGGCUCCUCAACCUCACAUUAUCUUGCAACCUAUGACUUAAAGGGAUCACUUUCCCUUCCACAUACUUCUAUGCAGCUUUCUCUUGUCAGUGUUGCCGCUGACACCAACUGUAUGACCACAACUCCUAAAUCACAGGUUACAAAGCUCUUCGCCAUCCACCAGUGACCUUGAUCUUCACACCACUCCUGUGAGGUAGACCAGGUGCCUAUUGCCUUCUAUUUUUACAGAUCUAAGAAAUAAGGCUCAGCGAGAUGACGGGACUUAGAACCAUCUCAUUGAUUGGUCUAGCGCCUGGCCCCUCCAUCCCAGUAUCAUGCUUUCUCUGCAUCUUAUGAUCACUGUCGUUGCCUCCAGUGCCCAGGGCCAACUGGAAAGGUAAGGGAAACUGAGGUACAGAGAGGGGAAGAGCCAUGAUUGACUCCCUGCAACUCAUCUGGGAGGGCACCCAGAUUUACAUUCGGAUCUGUUUCACUACAAAGCGGUGCCCUUGACUUAACACUCCAUCACUUUCCAUACAAGCUUCAAACUGAACUCCACCUUCAUUAGCUUGGUGAGCGCAGACCACCGAACACUUCUAACAUCUCUCUUAGAGGUUAUGUGUUGGCUCCUGCGUUCAGAACUAUCCUAAAAGUAACUGAAACAAGGGGCUUUUGACUCCAUGGAUAAACAGUUCCUGGGGAGUAGACCUUGAUUCUAGCCAUUACUUAGAAAACAAAUCAAAUUCGUAGUCAGACUAGUGAUGUUGUUGGAACUUUUCAAACAUGAAGACUCAUGUAUGGACAUAUAUGCUUGGGACCAAAAGCACUCUCCUUUUCCAAACAGCAACCUACACUUGACCUUUUGAGAGGCUGAGCUGUUGCUGAGGACUGUUUAGAUGGAAGAUUUGAUUGUUGGUUAUGAAGGCACCGAGGAAGAGACAGGAUGGUGUCCCAGGAUGGAAGGAAGGCUCUGGACAUCAGAACUUUGGGCCACUGUACUGCUGUGUAAAUUUGCAAAACCUACUUAAUCCUUAUGGCCUAUUUCCUCAUCUGGAAAAUGAGUUAAAUGAGAUCCACUUUAUAGAAUUGUUGUAAUGAUUAUAUAAGUAAACACAUAGUAAUGUUAUUUGAUUUUAUUAUUAUUAUUAUUAUAAUUUGUCACUCUAAGCAUUUAGCUUUGGUGUCUCCAAUAUUCAGUACUCACAUUCAUGUUCAAAUUUGGAUGCUAGGUAGAAAUGAAGACUUUGUAUCUGCCACCAGAGAAGGCUAUUUAUUGUUUGUCAUUGCCUGUCACAAACUCACAAAGAUAGUAUUUGUCUAUCCAAAGGUACCUAAUUCCUCAGUUUCUUAUGUGACUAUAAAGGGGCCUACUUUGAUCUUACCAUGAACACAAAUCCUUUUGAAAUUUCAAUUUGUCAGUUUUGAUAUUUGCUCCUCUCUCUUUUCUGCUCCUCUUAUCCAGGAAAGGAGGCACAUUGUAGUUUUUGACUUAAUAAUGGGACCUAUGUUAAUAGUAAAGAAAGUUCAGAAGCCAAGAGAAAACCCGUGAAAUGAUAAAAAAGGUAGAUGGAUAUAUUUUUUAAAAAUGUUUUGUCAAACACCUUUGAAUUGGCACCAUUGAGAAUACCUUUCAACAUGUGGGUUUAAGAAAACAUUUUGCUUUAUAAAGCCUCAGAGAAAAUCUUGUGAUAAAAUUAGUCAGAGUUGCAUAGAAAUGGAUUAAAGAAGGAACCAAAGGAUUUAACUCAUCAGCAAGAGCAGAUAAAACCAGGUGCUCGACCUGGAAUUCCCACAGGGUCAGGCCUCUGGAAUUCCCACAGGGUCAGGCCUCUGGGUUUCCCACAGGGUCAGGGCUCUCCUCAGUGUUUUUUCACUGCUGGUUCCACAGAUAAGAGGAGAUGGGUGGAGAGAUAUGUUGUCCUGUACCGCUCACUUGCACAAGCAGACCACAGUUGGGAGGAGGUCCACUAGUAUUUGAGGAAAACCAUUUAGAAGUGGACAUCUUAGGUUGGGAAUUAUUGAAAAGCAUUAGCCCAUUAGCUGUGAGAGAGAUGAAAGAUCAUGAAUCAGAGCGAUAUUAGAGUUUUCCUUUAUCUGGAGCUGGAUAGCCCUAAAAUGGCCAGGGAGGUGGCGUAGAUGGCCACAGUGGAUAGUGCAUUGUGAGGCUUCCAGCUGGCUGGAGUUGUCCAAGGAAGAUGGACCCAUCACGGGCAUGGGCUUCCCAAAAGGCUUGUCAUGGUCCAAAUGCUUCUCAGUUAUUGGAAAAACAUGGUGUUCAAGGGCUGGGCUAUCAUUUGGAUCUUUCCUUGAGAUCACUAACCCUGUAAUGAAGAAGCACCUUGUCACUGGAUACAAUGUUGGUUCCUGGCUGCUGGGGACAUUCUAACUCUGGUGGAGAGCUAACAACAAAAUGAAUCACCUUACAUUUGCCUGCUGUGCCUUUCGCUUAAGGCUCUGUCUCUAUCACAGGGUGUCUAUGGACAGUAGUUGGCUCCCAAUGUAAUAGGCUGGCUUCAAGGAGCUAACUCUCCAUUCCUCUGUGUUACAGAAUACAUGCAGACCAAAGGAAGAUGCUUAUCUGCCUGUCUGGUCCAUCCAGAGUCAUCACCUUCAAAUACACUCUAACCCCUGGAGCCCUGUCUAAGCUCACACAAAGCCCAUUUGGUGAUCUCUUUGCAUGGAUGCGUGAAACAGUCCUCAAGGAAUAAUCUCACCCUAGUAGGCUACAGAGAAACCAUACACACAUACCCCAAACAGUGCAGAAAGUGCAAUAAAUCUUACAAUCAAAUAAAAACUAAGUGUUAUGAGAGCAGAGAUGAAGAAAUGAGGAAUUCUGAUGAAGAAAAAGGCAGUCAGAAAUUGAGAAAACCUUCUUAGGGGAGCUAGCAAUUGAGCUGUGCCUUGAAGAACACAUAUCUAGAUGGGCAGAGACAAUGAGAGAGCUGGGAAAGGGGAAGGAUUCCAGGAGGAGGGAACAGUGAACAAAGAGCUGUAGGCAGGACCCAGGAGUCAAGGCUGGAAUGUGUGCGGAGUGGAAAGGGAAAGUAGGGGGAGGCAUCAAAGGUGUGUUGAAUAGCCUUUAAGUUUUCAACAAAUGACAAUUAUUGUACAAAGCACAGGCUUAGCCACUGAGAAAGGAGGGAGGGUUACAAAAUGCCCACAUAUCUUAAGUCUUUUGUUCUCCCUGGGGAGAACCUUGGGGCUGUUUUGGGACCAUCAGUGGCCAUGAGUUUUCCAUUGCUUAAGUUCUCUCUGACCAUCUCUCUUGCUCCUGUCUUUGUUUGUUGAACCCUGAUGUUGUGAACCAUCUGACCCUUUCUAGUCCCCAAUUCUUGCCUAGUUUUUGUUGACUCUGACUGACUUGUACAGCAUCUAGUUCUCUGCCUAUAAAUAUAAGGUGACCUAAUCCUUCGAUGCUCUGGCCGGCCCUGAGUGGAGUUCGUCUUCAUGUGAAUACAGACAUCUUUCGCCUUGGUAGUUCUGGCUUCUGCUGAAUGUUUUCUCCCUCCAGGCACUCACUUUGUUGUUAUGUAGGCACACAGUUUCAACCCUGGGACUGCUUGGAGUGUUACAGAUGCAUCAGGAAAAAAAAAAAAAAAAA